rnacentral:rRNA from 1 species
AUUGAACGCUGGCGGCAGGCCUAACACAUGCAAGUCGAGCGGAUGACGGGAGCUUGCGCCUUGAUUCAGCGGCGGACGGGUGAGUAAUGCCUAGGAAUCUGCCUGGUAGUGGGGGACAACGUUUCGAAAGGAACGCUAAUACCGCAUACGUCCUACGGGAGAAAGCAGGGGACCUUCGGGCCUUGCGCUAUCAGAUGAGCCUAGGUCGGAUUAGCUAGUUGGUGGGGUAAUGGCUCACCAAGGCGACGAUCCGGAACUGGUCUGAGAGGAUGAUCAGUCACACUGGAACUGAGACACGGUCCAGACUCCUACGGGAGGCAGCAGUGGGGAAUAUUGGACAAUGGGCGAAAGCCUGACCCAGCCAUGCCGCGUGUGUGAAGAAGGUCUUCGGAUUGUAAAGCACUUUAAGUUGGGAGGAAGGGCAGUAAGUUAAUACCUUGCUGUUUUGACGUUACCGACAGAAUAAGCACCGGCUAACUCUGUGCCAGCCGCCGCAGUAA